UUGAUCUCAAAUCAGGUAGGACUACCCGCUGAACUUAAGCAUAUCAAUAAGCGGAGGAAAAGAAACUAACAAGGAUUCCCCUAGUAACUGCGAGUGAAGCGGGAAGAGCUCAAAUUUAAAAUCUGGCGUGCCUCUGGUCGUCCGAGUUGUAGUCUGGAGAAGCGUUUUCCGUGUUGGACCGUGUACAAGUCUCUUGGAACAGGGCGUCAUAGAGGGUGAGAAUCCCGUCUUUGACACGGACUACCAAUGCUUUGUGAUGCGCUCUCAAAGAGUCGAGUUGUUUGGGAAUGCAGCUCAAAAUGGGUGGUAAAUUCCAUCUAAAGCUAAAUAUAGGCGAGAGACCGAUAGCGAACAAGUACCGUGAGGGAAAGAUGAAAGCACUUUGGAAA
rnacentral:rRNA from 1 species